rfam:Ruminococcus sp. DSM 100440 contig00014, whole genome shotgun sequence.
GGGAACGUAGCGCAAUGGAAGAGCAAACGGCUUAUAUCCGGGCGGUUGCAGGUUCGAGUCCUGCCGUUCCUA